CCACUCAUUCCUGCAUGAAGCAGCACGCUCCCUUUGGAGCUGUUCCUGGCAGGGAGAUCGCGCUGUGGAAGUGUUUGUUCUGGGAAAGCAGCGGCACAAAUGUGGAAAAGAUUAAAGCGGAGGCUUUUACGUCAAAAUCAUCUGAAGAGAGACAUGAAGUGACCCAGUUCCUGCCCCUGGAGGAGACAGAAGAAGGGAUGGGGAAAGGAGACCAGGCCUCCUAGCUCUGCCUCAAGCCUACCAACACAAGGCUUUCCAGCCCCAGACGCAGACAACAAUGGGUAAAAGCUCCCUGGGAAGCGCUUGAAAAUCUCCUUCUGCUCCCAAUAAUUUGUUCUUAUGGACGGGGAGGGAUUGCUGAGUGACGAAGUGCAGCAGGAGUCUGGCUGUGGGGCCAGAUGUGGCUGCAGGGACGAAGGCAGAGCCGGGCUUGCUGCGUGCCUUGGAGGAGAGCCUGCGGGGCGCUGGGCAGGCUGUGAUGUCCCCUGUCACUGCAGUGUCCCCGGGGCUGGGAGGCUGGGGAGGGCAGCCCAAGACAGGGAGCAGGGGGAUCUCCUGGCUCAGCCUGGACACAUGCUCCCAUUGUCCCCGACAACAAUGGGGGAGCUGAGCAAGCGCCGCAGCUGAUGACACAACCCCAAGCUCAGGGAGCAGCUGGCUGGCAGCUAAAGGGAAGCACUGUGCGUGUUCCCCCCUGUCCUGCCAGCCCCCAGCCUUGGGGAGAAACCGAGCUCUGCCCCCGAGCUGGACAAACCCUCCUGCCUUUAUUUAAUCCUUCUCCUUCCAGGGUGAGGAGCUUCCUGGCUGGCCUGGAGCUCGGGGGACCCAAAUUCCUGCAGGGAACUGCUUCCAGCGGCUGCGCCUCUCUGCGUGAUAUGAAGAGACCAUGGGAUGUGGAAGCCUUGCCAGGAGGUUGAACACCAGCCCUCUGGCUGCUCACCCUGCAGGGCACCCCUGCAUUAGGUGUGACUUGGGGACUCGUUUUCUCUGCUUUGUGGAUGGCGUCCAGGCUGCUCUCUGCAGCAAAGGGACCAUCCAGCUGGAGAACCUCUGCAAGGAGCCUUCUGCAGACACCUCGGCAGGAUGCUUCCUGCCAGCGCGCUGCCCAGAAACUGCACAAUCACGCCUGCCUCCACAGCACCGCCAGCCAGAGAUUUCAAGGGAGCUGACUUCUCUUGCAAUGGUGCUUGAGCAACUGCCUGACUCCAAAAGCAGCCCUUUGAGCCUGAGUUGCCUGGGUUCCUGUGCUCACCAGGGGAGGAGACAGCUUGGGGAGAUA
rnacentral:lncRNA from 1 species